AGAGUUUGAUCCUGGCUCAGAUUGAACGCUGGCGGCAUGCCUUACACAUGCAAGUCGAACGGCAGCACGGGGGCAACCCUGGUGGCGAGUGGCUAACGGGUGAGUAAUAUAUCGGAACGUGCCCUGGAGUGGGGGAUAACUAGUCGAAAGAUUAGCUAAUACCGCAUACGAUCUACGGAUGAAAGUGGGGGACCCGCAAGGGCCUCAUGCUCCUGGAGCGGCCGAUAUCUGAUUAGCUAGUUGGUGAGGUAAAGGCUCACCAAGGCAUCGAUCAGUAGCUGGUCUGAGAGGACGACCAGCCACACUGGGACUGAGACACGGCCCAGACUCCUACGGGAGGCAGCAGUGGGGAAUUUUGGACAAUGGGCGCAAGCCUGAUCCAGCAAUGCCGCGUGAGUGAAGAAGGCCUUCGGGUUGUAAAGCUCUUUUGUCAGGGAAGAAACGGUGAGGGCGAAUACCCCUUGCUAAUGACGGUACCUGAAGAAUAAGCACCCGGCUAACUACGUGCCAGCAGCCGCGGUAAUACGUAGGGUGCAAGCGUUUAAAUCGGAAUUUACUGGGCGUUAA
rnacentral:rRNA from 1 species